rnacentral:rRNA from 1 species
GACGAACGCUGGCGGCGUGCCUAAUACAUGCAAGUCGAACGCAGAGGGGACGGGUGAGUACCACGUGGGUAACCUCCCAUCAGGGGGGAUAACACUUGGAAACAGGUGCUAAACCGAUACUGAUGGAUGGACCCGCGGUGCAUUAGCUAGUUGGUGGGGUGACGGCGCACCAAGGCCACGAUGCAUAGCCGACCUGGUAGGGUGGUAGACCACACUGGGACGGAGACACGGCCCAGACGCCUGCGGUGUCCAGCAGUAGGGAAUCUUCGGCAAUAGACGAAAGUCUGACCGAGUAACGCCGCGUGAGGUAAGAAGGUGUUCGGAUCUUGAAACUCUGUUGUUAGAUAAGCGGUAUCUAACCAGAAAGCCACGGCUAACUACGUGCCAGCAGCCGCGGUAAUUC